rnacentral:rRNA from 1 species
GGGGAAUAUUGGACAAUGGGCGAAAGCCUGAUCCAGCCAUGCCGCGUGUGUGAAGAAGGUCUUCGGAUUGUAAAGCACUUUAAGUUGGGAGGAAGGGUUUCUGGCUAAUAUCCAGGAAUUUUGACGUUACCGGCAGAAUAAGCACCGGCUAACUUCGUGCCAGCAGCCGCGGUAAUACGAAGGGUGCAAGCGUUAAUCGGAAUUACUGGGCGUAAAGCGCGCGUAGGUGGUUCGUUAAGUUGGAUGGGAAAGCCCCGGGCUCAACCUGGGAACUGCAUCCAAAACUGGCGAUCUCGAGUUCGAGAGAGGUUGGUGGAACUCCGAGUGUAGAGGUGAAAUUCGUAGAUAUUCGGAAGAACACCAGUGGCGAAGGCGGCCAACUGGCUCGAUACUGACGCUGAGGUGCGAAAGCGUGGGGAGCAAACA